GAACGGACGGGUGGGCGGAUGGGUGGGUGGGGGGGGUGGAUGGAUGGCCGGACGGAGGGAUGGACGGAUUUCCCAACCGGCUCAGCAGGCUGCCCCCGCCUAACGCUGCCCGCGCUUCCGGCCCUCACCGUCUCUUACCCGUCUUUUUCCUGCUGUUUCUCCCCAGCCCCGGCUCCCUCCUCCCUCAGUUAUAAAGAUCCCCUCGGACCUUGCCCAGACAGACCCCCAAAACGGUAUCCACUGUAUCGCCAGAAAGAGAUCUUCCAGUUGGAGUUACCCUCUCUGAUUUCUCCCCCAGUGACUCCGACCAGGACCACAGCAUCACCCUGCACCUGAAGAUCUCCUGCCCGUCCUCCCCCGCCUUCAGCCACCCCCGGAGCCCCGGCCGCGCCGCGCCGCACGUGAGGAUCGAAGUGGAGUCCGACUACAACGACGCGGACUUGGAGAAGCGUCCCAGGGACCUGGGCGGCGAGACCACCCUGUAGCCGCGCGCGCCCGGGCUUCCCGCCCGCCGACCAGGAGGCGCGCGCAUGCGCGCUUUCCCUCGGCCCCUCCACCCCGCGUGACGCAUGCGCACACAGGCUCUCCCCGCGCUCUUGCCCUAACCCACCGCGAGGCCUGCGCAUACGCCCUUUCUUCCCGUCCACCUGUCACAGUGUGAGGCAUACGUGCUUCUCCUCCCAACCUCCCAGCGUGUGCGCAUGCAUGCUUUCCCUCCCCCGCAACCUUCCCAGCAGGGAGCAUGCGCACACACGCUUUCCCUCUUCCCACCUCUCAGCAUGGGACAUGCGCACACACGGUCCCCCAAUCUCCCAGCGUGGAGCAUGCGCACAUACGCUUUCCCUCUUCCCGCCUCCCAGCGUGGAGCAUGCGCACACACGCUCUC